rfam:Chlorocebus sabaeus isolate 1994-021 chromosome 11, whole genome shotgun sequence.
AUAUUUUUGUAGUUCAUAAACAUAAUGAUUGGGCUUUCACACUUGUUUGAGGUGUGCCUUCCUCAAACCUUGUUUAUAAUGUCAGCACAUUACCUGUCUGAUG